rnacentral:rRNA from 1 species
UGAGGAAUAUUGGUCAAUGGGCGAGAGCCUGAACCAGCCAAGUCGCGUGAAGGAAGACAGUCCUAAGGAUUGUAAACUUCUUUUAUACGGGAAUAACGGGCGAUACGAGUAUUGCAUUGAAUGUACCGUAAGAAUAAGCAUCGGCUAACUCCGUGCCAGCAGCCGCGGUAAUACGGAGGAUGCGAGCGUUAUCCGGAUUUAUUGGGUUUAAAGGGUGCGUAGGUUGUUCGGUAAGUCAGCGGUGAAACCUGAGCGCUCAACGUUCAGCCUGCCGUUGAAACUGCCGGGCUUGAGUUCAGUGGCGGCAGGCGGAAUUCGUGGUGUAGCGGUGAAAUGCAUAGAUAUCACGAGGAACUCCGAUUGCGAAGGCAGCUUGCCAUACUGCGACUGACACUGAAGCACGAAGGCGUGGGUAUCAAACAGGA